CGUCGCCCACUAACAGAUUUUCUUUGCUGUCAUUGCAGAGCCUGUUUGGAAAGAGGAAGCACAGGAGGAAUUUGUUGAUAACACUGCACUGUAGUGUGACCAGUUAACCUAAAAAAAAAAUGCAAAUUAUAAACCACUGUUAAGAAUGUGCCCUGCUGCAGUGCCCUGGAGCAACUCGGAUUGAGACAGGAGGAGAUGACGGCUCAUACGUAGGUUAAGUAUUGCGGUGGUUUUGAGGUGAGCAGCAUCAUGACAACAUGGCUUUGCUGGUCCGACGGCGAUUUCAACUGAUCGGGGGGGAUCGAGCUCGACGAUGUAACUCCGCUAGCUGCAUGAUGUCACUGGCCAUUCUGGGUGUCUUUUCAUUUGGAGAGCGGCCAAAGAGAAGAGGAUGAUGUCAC